rnacentral:rRNA from 1 species
ACUCAAAUGAAUAGACGGGGGCCCGCACAAGCAGUGGAGUAUGUGGUUUAAUUCGAAGCAACGCGAAGAACCUUACCAGGUCUUGACAUCCCCUGAGUAGCGCAGAGAUGCGUGAUGUCCUUCGGGACAGGGAGACAGGUGGUGCAUGGUUGUCGUCAGCUCGUGUCGUGAGAUGUUGGGUUAAGUCCCGCAACGAGCGCAACCCUUGUCAUUAGUUGCUACGCAAGAGCACUCUAAUGAGACUGCCGUUGACAAAACGGAGGAAGGUGGGGAUGACGUCAAAUCAUCAUGCCCCUUAUGACCUGGGCUACACACGUACUACAAUGGCGAUGAACAGAGGGAAGCGACACGGCGACGUGAAGCGAACCCCAAAAAAUCGUCUCAGUUCGGAUCGCAGGCUGCAACCCGCCUGCGUGAAGUCGGAAUUGCUAGUAAUCGCGGAUCAGCAUGCCGCGGUGAAUACGUUCCCGGGCCUUGUACACACCGCCCGU